rnacentral:rRNA from 1 species
UACGAAGGGGGCUAGCGUUGUUCGGAAUCACUGGGCGUAAAGCGCACGUAGGCGGAUCUUUAGGUCAGGGGUGAAAUCCCGAGGCUCAACCUCGGAACUGCCUUUGAUACUGGGGAUCUCGAGUCCGGGAGAGGUGAGUGGAACUGCGAGUGUAGAGGUGAAAUUCGUAGAUAUUCGCAAGAACACCAGUGGCGAAGGCGGCUCACUGGCCCGGAACUGACGCUGAGGUGCGAAAGCGUGGGGAGCAAACAGG